GAGAGAGAAAAGAGAGGAGAAACUUCAAAUUCCAUCUUGGGUUUUGCUUGAUUUGGAGAGAAAUCAACAAGAACCAUAAAUCUAAUCCGAAUAAAGGUGCAACAAGGUGACAAGGAAGCUUGAGGCGGAGUGAUUUUGCAUAGGCAACCUUGGUUUUGUAUUUUUCUUUGAGAUUUGAAGGUAUUAAGCUAGGAAACUCUCCUUCCCUUUCUUAUGUUGCAUUUUAUUGGAUAGAUGACUUGAAUAUGGAAGAUAUCAUGAAUUUGUGAAGUUGGUAGAAUUUUCCAGCUUAGGGUUUCAAAAUUUCAGCUUGGGUAUAUUUGUUUAUAUAUCAAGCAUAUGUUGAAUUUGGUUAGUCUUUGCUAUCUAGAAUAUGUACCAAUUGUCUCCUAUAAUUUGUGAGCUUGAUUUGGGGCUGUUAUACUAUGAGAUUGUAGCCUUAAAAAUGGUUGGAAAUUAGGGAAAAUAAGGGGAAGUGCGGCUGAAAAUUUUUCCGCAGGAGACCUUGAGCAGUCUUGGAAAAUCUACUAUAUAUUAGUGUAAAAAAAUCCAAAUUGAGUUUUGUUUGUUGUAUUGGAAACUAGACUCAUAGAUAUUUUAACCGUGAAAAUUUCAGAAAUUUUUUCAAUUCCUAUGAAUAUCUGUGAUUUUUCAAAGUUGACUGAAUUUUCAUUCCUGUUCUGUCUUUCUACUGGAUAAAGCAGCCGCUUGAGAUUGGAUUUUGACUGACUUGUGGACAGAAUCUUGCAAAGCUGUCUUCUGAGAAAUUGUAACCCUUUGAAUUUAUUUUCCAACGCUAUAAAGUUUAUGAAUUUUGGAUUUAAGAAGCUUGAGAUAUGAUUUUUCAAAUAACAUCGCGCAAAACUGGAAAAAAUUUUGUUUUCUUCAAACUGUCCUUACUUUCACUUCCAACUUCAAGUUGGAGUUGUUGAACCAUUUUGAGCUUAAUUUUUCUUUUGGAAUAAUGUGACUUGGCAUAGUGGAUCUCAUGGUACUUUAUAAAUGUGAUUUUAGGAUGUGGAGGUGAGGUCGAAAGUGCACAUGAGGCGAACACUUGAACUUGUACCGUGGUGAGUGUUCCUUGCAUAUUUGUGUAAUAAGUGACUAUGUGAAUAUCUGUGAGUGAUUGUUUGAAUGUUAAAUGCUUUUCAAUGACUAUUAAAUGGAUUUUCAAUGGGUGAGUGUGUACUUUAUCGCCCUCGACCUAAGUGAAUGUGAAUUUUAAAUGAUCAAGUAAUUGAACGUUACUUGUGCAUGAAUGUAAGCCUUUGGCUGAACUGGACCCUUGCCCUUCGUUGCCAGUCAACUCGAGCCAGAAGCGGACUCGGUCAGGCGGCUGGUGACCUUAGGAUAAUGUUUGGUAUAUUCGAGUAUUACCACGAAGUCUAGUGGAGAACUGGCCAGUGAAUUCAAUGCAAUGAAAUCAAUGAAUGAGUGACAAUGAAUACUGAAGGAGUUUUCACAGUUAAAUGUUUUGAAAUGACGGAGGAAUAAGGGAAAUGGUUGGUGACUGAAUGACUGAAUGAAUGGCUCCAAGUGAGCACGUACCUUUCCAAUGAAUGAAUGUUUAUUUCUUAAAUGACUGUUUAUUAUUGUGCAAAGUGUUCAAACUGUUAAGUACCAUACUUCUAUGAUUUCUCUACCUGAUUGCUUGUUUGGUAACCUCACUGGGCUUUUAGUUUAUUCCUUUAGUUUUUUGUUUUCCUUACAGGAAUGGAGGUCUGGAGCAAUUAAAUGUGACCUAGAGUGUAUAACCCUCUUGUACUUGUACUCUUGGUUGAUAGGAUGUAUUUUGACAUUUGACGUUGUAUCAUACAUUUGGCUUUUGGAUUGUAAAUAAGUUUGCAUUUUGGUUGAAUUAUAGAACUUAAAUAUUAUUUUGGAGGCUUGAAUGAUUAAUCUUGAG
rnacentral:lncRNA from 1 species